GCUGCGUUCUCGAGAAGAAGCGUUAUUUCUGCAUUCCAAGAAGGACGGCACAAUGUGUCGGACUGUCCGCGUCGCAUUGAACUGGUCCGAUGAGGCUGCUAUUGCACACACAGUGAGGGAACUCCCAUACGGGAACUCGGAAGUACUGCUACAGUACAGGUAUAUCAUCCCGUGACGACCACAUCGAAGUCUGAAUUUGAAGUGUGAGUAUGCUUCAGCAACCCCUUCAUAUUUUUCCAUUGCUUUUAUUGUGCUUCUACUGUGCAUGUGUGUAACUUGUGGGGUAUGCAUGUGAUGACAAUGUAUGCCGGUGACAC